rnacentral:rRNA from 1 species
AUGCGUCGAUCUCGAGACUCUCUCUCCAUUGACGAUCUUGUCGGACGGUACAAGGCUCACGACGAGCGGAUGCGGUACAGUCUCGGAGACGGGAGGAACGACGAGCUUGUGAUGCUCACAAAGGCUCAGUGGAUCGCCCUUGAAAAGCAAGGCGGGUCCAAAAGCAGCAGCAAGAAGAAGAGGAAGCAGCGUUCGGUGAGAAAGAACUUCACCGACUCGGACGAUGAGGCUGCACCACCACCGAGGAGAAAGUUUGACAUCAGGAAAGUGAGGUGUUAUAACUGUGGCCUCCUCGGUCACUUCAAGGCUGACUACGAGGAAGCACCGAAGCAGAAGGCGCUCAUUGCCCAGCAAGGAGAUGAUGGUGACAUGAUGUUGAUGUGUAAAUUGGUGGACGAGGAGGAUCCAGACUCUCAAGCAUUGACUAAAGAAAUUAUCAAGCUUGCGGAAGAAAAAGUUUGCCAUCAUGAUCGUGGUUCGAAAACCUGUGUCGAAGCUACAAAUGCGGAGAGUGAUUCCGAAACUUAUGUCAGUGCUAUGGACGUAAGUGCCAACUUUGCUGGAGCGGAUGCGACGAUAGCUGCGUGUGCGCGGCCAUGGAGAAGUAGUCUUUGUGCGACGCGUCGGAGAGAGGCCAGUUGCGGCCGGAAGAGCAGUUCAGAAAAUCUGAAAUUGGGCGAAGACGUGGCGUCAGAAGUCCACGACACAAGGCGUCUCGAUGUGGUCGUGUCAAAAGAUCACAAGGCAAGUCGAGAUGUGCGGCGAGUUCCGCUCGGACCUGACGAUGGUGGCAUCUGGCAGCAGGCAGCGUGGUAG